rnacentral:rRNA from 1 species
GACGAACGCUGGCGGCGUGCUUAACACAUGCAAGUCGAACGGAAAGGCCCUGCUUUUGUGGGGUGCUCGAGUGGCGAACGGGUGAGUAACACGUGAGUAACCUGCCCUUGACUUUGGGAUAACUUCAGGAAACUGGGGCUAAUACCGGAUAGGAGCUCCUGCUGCAUGGUGGGGGUUGGAAAGUUUCGGCGGUUGGGGAUGGACGCGCGGCUUAUCAGCUUGUUGGUGGGGUAGUGGCUUACCAAGGCUUUGACGGGUAGCCGGCCUGAGAGGGUGACCGGCCACAUUGGGACUGAGAUACGGACCAGACUCCUACGGGAGGCAGCAGUGGGGAAUAUUGCACAAUGGGCGGAAGCCUGAUGCAGCAGCGCCGCGUGCGGGAUGACGGCCUUCGGGUUGUAAACCGCUUUCGCCUGUGACGAAGCGUGAGUGACGGUAAUGGGUAAAGAAGCACCGGCUAACUACGUG